AGUGAACGCUGGCGGUAGGCCUAACACAUGCAAGUCGAACGGAAGCACAGUAAGCGCUUGCUCUUACGGGUGGCGAGUGGCGGACGGGUGAGGAAUACAUCGGAAUCUACUAUUACGUGGGGGAUAACGUAGGGAAACUUACGCUAAUACCGCAUACGACCUACGGGAGAAAGCAGGGGAUCUUCGGACCUUGCGCGAUAGAAUGAGCCGAUGUCGGAUUAGCUAGUUGGCGGGGUAAAGGCACACCAAGGCGACGAUCCGUAGCUGGUCUGAGAGGAUGAUCAGCCACACUGGAACUGAGACACGGUCCAGACUCCUACGGGAGGCAGCAGUAGGGAAUAUUGCACAAUGGGCGCAAGCCUGAUCCAGCCAUACCGCGUGAGUGAAGAAGGCCUUCGGGUUGUAAAGCUCUUUUAUUGGGAAAGAAAAGCAGCAUGUUAAUACCCCGCCGUCCUGACGGUACCCAAAGAAUAAGCACCGGCUAACUUCGUG
rnacentral:rRNA from 1 species